rnacentral:rRNA from 1 species
GUAGGGAAUAUUGGGCAAUGGAAGGAAUUCUGACCCAGCCAUGCCGCGUGCAGGAAUACAGUCCUAUGGACUUUAAACUGCUUUUAUUAUAGAGUAACCUGGGGGACGUGUCCCCCACUGCAAGUAUAUAAUGAAUAAGCAUCGGCUAACUCCGUGCCAGCAGCCGCGGUAAUACGGGGGAUGCAAGCGUUAUCCGGAUUUAUUGGGUUUAAAGGGUGCGCAGGCUGAUCGGUAAGUCAUGGGUGAAAAGUCACUGCUUAACAGUGAUCGUGCCUAUGAUACUGCCGGACUAGAGUUUAAGAGGUGUAACUGGAAUGUGAUGUGUAGCAGUGAAAUGCUUAGAUAUGUCACAGAACGCCAAUCGUGAAGACAGGUUACAAACUUAAUACUGACGCUCAUGCACGAAAGCGUGGGGAUCAAACAGGAUUAGAAACCCGAGUAGUCC